rnacentral:rRNA from 1 species
AUUGAACGCUGGCGGCAGGCCUAACACAUGCAAGUCGAGCGGAUGAAGGGGGCUUGCUCCUGGAUUCAGCGGCGGACGGGUGAGUAAUGCCUAGGAAUCUGCCUGGUAGUGGGGGAUAACGUCCGGAAACGGGCGCUAAUACCGCAUACGUCCUGAGGGAGAAAGUGGGGGAUCUUCGGACCUCACGCUAUCAGAUGAGCCUAGGUCGGAUUAGCUAGUUGGUGGGGUAAAGGCCUACCAAGGCGACAAUCCGUAACUGGUCUGAGAGGAUGAUCAGUCACACUGGAACUGAGACACGGUCCAGACUCCUACGGGAGGCAGCAGUGGGGAAUAUUGGACAAUGGGCGAAAGCCUGAUCCAGCCAUGCCGCGUGUGUGAAGAAGGUCUUCGGAUUGUAAAGCACUUUAAGUUGGGAGGAAGGGCAGUAAGUUAAUACCUUGCUGUUUUGACGUUACCAACAGAAUAAGCACCGGCUAACUUCGUG